UUGACCGCUGGCGGCAGGCCUAACACAUGCAAGUCGAGCGGAUGAAGGGAGCUUGCUCCUGGAUUUAGCGGCGGACGGGUGAGUAAAGCCUAGGAAUCUGCCUGGUAGUGGGGGACAACGACUCGAAAGGGUCGCUAAUACCGCAUACGUCCUACGGGAGAAAGUGGGGGAUCUUCGGACCUCACGCUAUCAGAUGAGCCUAGGUCGGAUUAGCUAGUAGGUGAGGUAAUGGCUCACCUAGGCGACGAUCCGUAACUGGUCUGAGAGGAUGAUCAGUCACACUGGAACUGAGACACGGUCCAGACUCCUACGGGAGGCAGCAGUGGGGAAUAUUGGACAAUGGGCGAAAGCCUGAUCCAGCCAUGCCGCGUGUGUGAAGAAGGUCUUCGGAUUGUAAAGCACUUUAAGUUGGGAGGAAGGGUUGUAGUUUAAUACGCUGCAACUUUGACGUUACCAACAGAAUAAGCACCGGCUAACUCUGUGCCAGCAGCCGCGGUAAUACAGAGGGUGCAAGCGUUAAUCGGAAUUACUGGGCGUAAAGCGCGCGUAGGCGGCUUGAUAAGAUGGGUGUGAAAUCCCCGGGCUUAACCUGGGAACUGCAUCCAUAACUGUCUGGCUAGAGUACAGUAGAGGGUGGUGGAAUUUCCUGUGUAGCGGUGAAAUGCGUAGAUAUAGGAAGGAACACCAGUGGCGAAGGCGACCACCUGGACUGAUACUGACCCUGAGGUGCGAAAGCGUGGGGAGCAAACAGGAUUAGAUACCCU
rnacentral:rRNA from 1 species